GGGGAAUUUUGGACAAUGGGGGCAACCCUGAUCCAGCCAUUCCGCGUGAGUGAAGAAGGCCUUCGGGUUGUAAAGCUCUUUCGGCAGGAACGAAACGGCGGGCUCUAACAUAGUCUGCUAAUGACGGUACCUGAAGAAGAAGCACCGGCUAACUACGUGCCAGCAGCCGCGGUAAUACGUAGGGUGCGAGCGUUAAUCGGAAUUACUGGGCGUAAAGCGUGCGCAGGCGGUUUUGUAAGACAGAUGUGAAAUCCCCGGGCUUAACCUGGGAACUGCGUUUGUGACUGCAAGACUUGAGUGCGGCAGAGGGGGGUGGAAUUCCACGUGUAGCAGUGAAAUGCGUAGAGAUGUGGAGGAACACCGAUGGCGAAGGCAGCCCCCUGGGUCGACACUGACGCUCAUGCACGAAAGCGUGGGUAGCAAAC
rnacentral:rRNA from 1 species